rnacentral:rRNA from 1 species
GUGGGGAAUCUUGCGCAAUGGGCGAAAGCCUGACGCAGCCAUGCCGCGUGAAUGAUGAAGGUCUUAGGAUUGUAAAAUUCUUUCACCGGGGACGAUAAUGACGGUACCCGGAGAAGAAGCCCCGGCUAACUUCGUGCCAGCAGCCGCGGUAAUACGAAGGGGGCUAGCGUUGCUCGGAAUUACUGGGCGUAAAGGGCGCGUAGGCGGACAGUUUAGUCAGAGGUGAAAGCCCAGGGCUCAACCUUGGAAUUGCCUUUGAUACUGGCUGUCUUGAGUACGGGAGAGGAGAGUGGAACUCCGAGUGUAGAGGUGAAAUUCGUAGAUAUUCGGAAGAACACCAGUGGCGAAGGCGACUCACUGGCCCGUUACUGACGCUGAGGCGCGAAAGCGUGGGGAGCAAACAGGAUUAGAAACCCCUGUAGUCC